rnacentral:lncRNA from 1 species
AGGAGAUGAAAAGUUUACUUAGAAAUUGCAAACAUUUAGUAAAGAUAAGACAUAAACACUAUUUUCCAUAGUCUACAGAAAUAUAAUAAUUUAUAGCUGGCUUGGUACAGAUCACAUGAUAAAAACAAUCUAAUGGAAAAAACCAAUGGUUCAUUCUACUUUUCUGCCACUUAUAACAACUUAAUAAGUGUACCAGUAAGUACUGGAAGACAGAUGCACAGGAAUAUUAGAAUCCUAGGGCUGUUUGUUAAUACACAUUAUUAUAAUAAUAAUAUAAAAACAAAACAAGUACAGAUAUACAAUUAACAUGCAAUUUAAGCUAUUACUUUGAAAAAACAGGACAGAAUUUAGUGAACACAUUGAAAAAUGUGUUAAUAAUGUGUUGUUAUAAUGAGCAUAUCAUGGUAUUUUACAUGGCAUGGAAUUUCUUCCUCCUUAAUAAUGCUUGGCAAAUUGGAACAGAUUGAGCUAGUUCUACAGCAAAUUUAAAAUGAAGACAAUGUGGAUAAUUCUAUUAGAUACUUUUCUAAGUAUACAAAGUAAUUUUUAAAGUACCAUAAUUUCAUGCCUACCUGACCACACCAUCUCCCAAUUUAAAAUAAAGUCCUACUCUGUACCCUAUGAACCUGCACCGUCCAAUAUAGCAGCCCUUAGCCACGUGGCUAUUUGAGCACUUCUAGCUCACCAGAACUAACAUGCACUGUGAGUGCAAAAUACACAAUGAAUUUUAAAAACCUACCAUCAGGGCAAAAAAAAAAAAAAAAAAAAAAAGGCAAAAUAUCUCCAUAAUUAUGUAUAUUGAUUACAUACUAAAACGAUAUUUUUAAUAUAUUGAGUUAAUUAAAAAUAAUGUCACCAGUUUCUUUUUUAAUGUGCCUGCUAGAAAAUUAAGAAUUACCUAUAUGGCUCCCAUUUGUUUCUAUUGGACAGUGCUAAUACAAAUAAUCUAUAGUCAUUAUAUUAGCCUUCAAAUUUAGCAUCAUACUUUAAGCGCUCUGGAGAACUCACUCCCAGGACACCAUAGCACCCUCUGCACAGACUUUACCACAAAAUUUAUUUUUAUCCCUCUCCAAGGUAUACAUUUUAAAUGUAAAAAGAAUUCAUAAAAUAUUUAAUCCUU